UCGAAGGUAGCAUAAUCAGUAGUCUUUUAAUUGAAGGCUGGUAUGAAUGGUUGGAUGAAAUAUUAACUGUUUCAUUUAAAAUUUUUAUAGAAUUUUAUUUUUUAGUUAAAAAGCUAAAAUUUUAUUAAAAGACGAGAAGACCCUAUAAAUCUUUAUAUUUUAUUUUUAUUAGUUAUUUAGAUAUUUUUAAUUAUUAAAAAUUAAAAUAUUUUAUUGGGGUGAUAUUAAAAUUUAAUAAACUUUUAAUUAAUAAUAACAUAAAUUUAUGAAUUUUUGAUCCAUUAUUAAUGAUUAAAAAUUUAAGUUACUUUAGGGAUAACAGCGUAAUUUUUUUGGAGAGUUCAUAUCGAUAAAAAAGAUUGCGACCUCGAUGUUGGAUUAA
rnacentral:rRNA from 1 species